AGAUCGUAAACUGGACGCAAUUUGAGAUGACAGUUUAAGUACAUUACUCAUUCUUCAUAGUUUUGACGUGUGCGAGGGUAUUCAGUAAGUGCUAAACAUCGAAACGAUAUUUAGGUUGUGUCGUUACAGGUAUAUGAAUAUUGGCAAAUAUUUCUGAAAAGUUUAAACUGUAUCAACGUACUUAAUGAGCCUGUAAAGACAUUUGAUAUCUUAUAGGAGAAAUAAACGACCCCAGGUCAGUGUUUAAUGUACAAUACAGCGUUACAGUAAACAA